rnacentral:rRNA from 1 species
UACGAAGGGGGCUAGCGUUGCUCGGAAUCACUGGGCGUAAAGGGCGCGUAGGCGGCCCCUCUUUGUCGCGUGUGAAAGCCCCGGGCUCAACCUGGGAACGGCGCGCGAAACGGGGGGGGCUGGAGUUCGGGAGAGGAGCGUGGAAUUCCCAGUGUAGAGGUGAAAUUCGUAGAUAUUGGGAAGAACACCGGUGGCGAAGGCGGCGCUCGUGGGACCGAGA